GCUGCCCGCGGGGGCCACGCGCCGGGAGCUGCAGGGGCGGGCGCGGGGGCGGCGGCUGGGUGAGGACGCAGGCCUGAGUCAGAGCUGCGGCCCGCGAAGCGAGCCCGGCCUGAGGGCAGCGGCGGGCACUUGGGGGCCACCCCGCCCCGGGCAGCGCCCGCCGGCUCUCGGCUCAGUCCGGCUCAUUCCUGCCUGCUGCCGCCUCGUGCUCCGGAGCUGGGGAACCGGGGGGCGGGCAGGAGAGGCCUCGCUCGCCCAGGACCUGCUCGGGGACCCCACCCGCCUUGGUGAGCGAUCGUCGAGUCCCUAUCACAGGCCUCCUUGGGGUGAGGAAACAGCUGGGAACUAACGAAAACUCGAGAUCCCAGCAGGGCAGAUUGGCCCUCCACCCCAGGGCCGUGUCCCUGCCUGCAGCCUGAGCCUGGAUUCCAUUUCCAGGCCGACUGGCAACUUGGAAUCAGCUGCGUCCAGUUGGAGCUGAGCUGGUUGGGGCCGGAUGGGACCACCGAUUCCCGAGCGGGGCCUGCACGAGGGCCCGCCCAGCGCCCUCUAGACCAUGCAGGGGCCUGUAGCCCAGCUACGCCUGCGCAGACGGAGUCCCGCACCUUUCUCCAAUCAUCAGUCACCUUUCCCCGCGCUCCCCGCGCCUCAGGUGGCCCUGCUUCUUUAUUCGUUAUCGCGUAAAUACCCCGAGCCCCUUCCCUUCCCUUCCGGGACGCAGAGCUGAGAUUUGCCCUCCUAGCUCCUGGCUUGGCCGCCUCGCCAACAGACCCGGGGGUCUCAGCGUUUGGCUUGCUGUGCAUCAGCCAAGAGGAACCUGGUUGGGUACCAGCUGCACGGGGACACUGCGCUCGGGGCCGCUGACUCUGCGCCACCUGAACCAGUUUGUGGUUUCGGAAACAUCAGGGCUCCCUGCUCCGAGCUGUUCACUGACACCUGGAGUGCGUGGUCCCUGCGGUUUCUGUGGCUCUUCUUUCGGGACAAGCAGUGUUCUUACAGGCGCCUCUUCUCAGGGAGUGUGACCAGGGCUGUUAACUGAGCACUUGACCAGCAUCUGUAAACUCGUCGAUCUGUGCUGAAAUCUGGUGAUGUAACCGUCUUCAGGAUUAGCGGGGUCUGAGGCCCAGAGGGAAGCAGGAGGCCGCUGUACGCUGGUGGGGACAGGCCUCUGCUCGGUGUCAGGGGGACGAGGACCUGGGAGACAUGCGGUACGUCCGGUGUGAUGCUCCUGUCACGCCGAUGGGACGUGACACCGGGAACGGAGCGGUGAGGCCCCCGACAGCCAGGGCGGCGCAGCCCGUCUGCAGAGUCCCACCUGCUUCCCUGAAGCCUCUGCACAUCCCCAGGAGAGCGGACCUUCCCUCUCUGUCCAGGACGCGAAUAGAGGCACGUUUCCCCUGCCCGGUGAUGGAAGGGAGUCCAGGAGCCGCGCAGGCUGCUUUCGGCGCUAAAGCUAUGAAGAGGAAGAAGCUACAGAGACAGCCUGGGAGCAUCAGGAAAAGCUUUACAGGCCUUAGUGAGGAGGGGAGCUUGCCAGGUGGGAAUGGGAGUGCCCUCGUACAAGGAGCAGCGAGGAAACCCGUGUGACCGCUGGGAAUGAGGGGGUGAGAUAAAUUGCUCUUGCAAAAGUCUGGAGGACACUGAGAAAAGGAAGAGACCGGAGGCCCGGAGGCAACUAGAAGCCUGUUCAGAUCUCCGGGAGGGACAGGAGUCCGCCGGCGGUGACGGUGACGGGGAUGGAGCAGCGUGAACGUCUGCGCAGCCGAGUGAACGAAGCAGGGUGUAAGGAGGGCCAUAUUCUGAAUACUUUGCGAUCAAGAUUUUGUUCCAACUUAUGAAACUCUUCUGUACUUCUGGGAUUUUACAGAUUCUAAAUUAUUUCAUAUCAACACUCAUUCCACCUGUUGUACAUGAGGAGAAAAGGUCAGUUCUACAGUAGACAAUCAGCGUAUCAGUCACUCGUGUUGAGAGUCAAGGUGUACCCACACGGCAGCAGCUGGGUCGCUGGGAAGUUGCCACAGGUCAAGGCUUUAGAGACGGCACAGAAAGCAGCUGGAAAACAAGGGUGUCUGUGAAGGGAGCGGGGGCCGCUCCAUCCGGCAGCUGACACAGCCAGACCCGUGUGCCGGGCUCCAGUCACCAGCGCAGGGACGUCAGUUAAAUUUAUAUGUAAGCUUGUUGAGGAAAACAACUUCCAAACAAACACAAUGCAAACUAGUGACAGCAUCCAAUACAGGCCGCUGAGGUGGUGCACUUCGGGCGCCCAAGCCCUCGCCAACCCCUGCGACUCUGAACCAUCCACCCGGGGCUCCAACCGUCCGGGGGCAGAAUGACUCAGGCUUUCAGGCUACAGACGCAAGAAAAGGGGCCCUGAGAUGACACCCACCAAUCACCCAAAGGUAGGAAAAAACCCGGAGCGAGGUAAGAGCACAUAUCGUAUAAAAACAAAAUCUCCAAAAAUGUAAGGGGUCUUUUAUCACUUUUAUCACCAACCCUGGCAAAAAUUCCCUAAUUCGUGGAGACACGGAGCACACAGGGCUCCGGUGUUAACGACGGGAGGCUUGCUGCGCCCCACAUCUGUCUGUCUUUCAAAGGAUAUGAUUCGUAGUCCAGUGUCUGUGUGAGCACGCCAGUCAGAACAAACUCUGCAUUGUGAACGUCUGAAAGGAGUGAAAACAAAAACCGUUAAACAAAUGCACUGCUGUGUGUGCACCGACACACUCUCAAUACAGAGCAAGAGGAAUAAACCGUACCUAUUCCUCUGGCAAAAUAUUCUCGACACAAGUGAAGGUCAUUUUCACAGGAUAUUAAAAUUAUUUCUGACAAACUCUAAUGAAAAGAAAAUCAUUGGUUACUAAACAACGGCUCGUAUACGUGACGAUGAUGAAUUCAACAGCGUAUUUUACUUCUGUCCACCUUAUUUUGCUUAUGUUCCAUGAGUUUCCGGAAAGACGGCUGUUUAGACAGUACUUUCCCUCCUGCACAUUCCACAAUCGCUUUCAUAGUUGAAAGACUCGGGCAGAUUCCAGGAGUGAUGUAAAAAUAUUUCGCCUAAAAAUAAAAUGAAAAUAUGGGUAUUAUGUUUUUUAAAUUGAAUUUUUAGUGUACGUAAUUUCUCAUUCUACCCUGGGAUUUUUGACAGAACGUCUGAUUUCAUGGGGAUACACGUACUAGCCUCUGCUAGUCCCAACCUGAAGUGGGCCUGGGAGACUCCAGGCGUGUAAAUUCGGAAAUAACUUCAGCACUUUCAUAUGUUAGGUACGACCUAUACUUAUUGAUAGCAACUUACAUUCUUACAAUGUAAGCAACUUACAAUUACAUUUUAGGAACUUACAUUCCUAAAAGACAUGAAGAAGUACUCUGCGGUAAAAGCAAGAAUAGGGAUGUUUUCUCAAUUUCUGUAAAAUUCUAAACUGUAAAGCUCAAACAGACAGGAAAUGAUUUUGCUGGUUAAAAUUUUCUAACACCCUUGCUCCUAAGUGUACCCAAAAUACUAUUUUGUUUUAAUAUUUAGAAAAAUCAGAUUAUCUUAGGUAAAAUACUCUUAACUCAGUAUUGCAAAUCAUUUCUGAUUCCUAAAUUGGCUCCUUAAGAAGGAUAAAAUAUCUUUAUUAAUUUACUAAGCCACUGUUUGAUACAAAGACAGUUUUCCAGAGUGUUCUAUCUUAUCUAACCGAUAUUUAAAUAUUCUAGUCUAGAAUUAUUAGGCACAGAUUCAAUUAAUAUAUUCCCAAGAAUGGUCUCCAUUCUCUAGCUGAGUAUACAUUUAAUGAGAAUAGUAUUAAGUAAUGUAAGUUGUUAAAAGCAAAAAAAUCAAUUUAAAUGUCUCCUACCUAUUCAUACACAUAACUCUUUGAAGCGGGUAUCUGUAAUGCAUACCUCUAAUCUAUUUAUUUAACUUUGUAUGGAUUCUUUUAGCUGUGGUAAACAGCAGGACCCUGCAGGUGCCGAAGACCUCCAGAAACACCGCGUGCGAGGAGGACCGCCCGUGCAGUGGGGAUGGGGGCCCGGCUCCCCGGAGGCCCUCGCUGUCGCCCACAGCUGUAGCAGCUGUCGCGUCCGGGGGCCUCAUCUCACUUCCCUUCCAAGCGUACCUUGAAGAGCGGAGACACGUGUGCCCUCCUCAAGGACUCCUCCAGACUGAAGGAGAAAAGCACCUCGGCCUCAGCGUCUCGGAGAAGGUAGUUCUGCUCAUCUGGAAAAGAGAACAGCCCACUGUGCCAACAGUGCACGGCGCCCGGGACGCACAGUGCCACCCGCUCCAGGCCGCCCCCAGGCAGGGAUCUAGUUCCCUGACCAGAGAUCGCACCUGGGCCCCCUGCAUUGGGAGCACGGAGUCUUAACCACCGGACCACCAGGGAAGUCCCUGAAGUGAUAUAUCUGAAAUGUUUAAAGCUGUCAGUCGGGCCCUGAGGGCGUCAGAGCCCAGUCGGGGCUGCAGUGCCGGGGGCAGCGGUGGCCGGCGUGGGGCUGACUACAUACAGUGCAGCUGAUCAAGUCAGUUA